AAGCUUUGUGUUGUUUUGCUGAGGCUUGUGCGCAUCUUGUUCUAGAUGGCAUACAUGAAGGGCUUGCUUGAAGACCGACGACAAGAAACUGGAAUAACUCAGCCUUUUUCUGACAUCAAAGGGCAAUACGGAUCCGAUCAAUGAGACUGGAGCAUCUCCAGGAUGUCAGCAGGCUGGAGCUGAAGCUUCUCCAGAUGGAAUCAAAUCCAAGGAGUUGGCAUUGGGAAGACACCUUCAGCCUAAGUCUCUUCCUGUAAUGGAAUUCUUCCACCUAUAUGAUAAAACACUGGAUUUCGUCGUAACACGUAUAAGUGAUAAAACACUUGUAAAAUCUGGAUAUCGUUUCAUGGUAGUCAUGAAAUGUCACAAGGAUAUUUAGUGGACCCAGCUCCUGAGUGCUUCACCUCAAAAGAUUUCUAAGUAAAUCAUCACUAUGCCAGCUGAUCCUGAUAACAAACGUCUGAGGCCCCAGCAGUCUCACUUUAUGGAAGGUACGCUUCCUGGGCUCCAACCAAAGUGGCUUAUUCAUUGUUACUGGGCCAUGCUUGUGACUUCAGGGAACAUUGUGAACAAAGCCCAGAAGAGAUGUGAAGACAUGCUGUAGACUAGACUAUCAGUAAAGCAGUUUAUCUGAGGGACACGAGAGAGUCCAUUUCUCCAGGCAAAUGAUGGGUGAGCUUCUAUCAUCUGUACAUGUGCUUUGCCUCUAAGAAGCUCCUUAGAUCUAGUAAGGUGUGUGUUCUCCUCCAGUUUUAUUGCCCAUGAACCUUAACUUAAAGCCCACGUGAAGACUAUUUCUUGAUGAGUGGGGGAUAUGGCCGGGUGGUAGAGCACUAGCUAAGCAUGUCUAAGACCCUGAGUUUGAACCCCAGGACCAGGAAAAAAAUAUUUUUAAAAUUAAGUAAGUAAUAAAUAUUUAGUCUGGGCCCAC
rnacentral:lncRNA from 1 species